rnacentral:rRNA from 1 species
UAAGGAAUAUUGGUCAAUGGAGGGAACUCUGAACCAGCCAUCCCGCGUGCAGGAAGACGGCCCUCUGGGUUGUAAACUGCUUUUAUCUGGGAAGAAAAGUCUUCAUUUAUGGGGAUCUGACGGUACCAGAGGAAUAAGCACCGGCUAACUCCGUGCCAGCAGCCGCGGUAAUACGGAGGGUGCAAGCGUUAUCCGGAAUUACUGGGUUUAAAGGGUGCGUAGGCGGCGCUGUAAGUCAGGGGUGAAAGGU